rnacentral:rRNA from 1 species
AUGUUGAUUUGUCAAAUAUUGGUAGCAAACCAAUUAUGCUCCAUCGCCGCCGAGCCCCAAUCCAGCCACCUCCCCAGCGGCCUGUUCUCAUGGGAGCGCCUGCUCGCUGCAGCCUCAGCUCAUCUUCGCUUUGAAGGAGGUCACCAGAUGGCGCGGCCACGGACGGGCGGCCAAACGGCUGGUGGAUCUAGACCCUACCUCGCCGGAUCCAGUGCUCGCUUGGGGCUGCGCCACGAGCGGCACCCAAUCAUUCGGGUCGCGCCACUCUGCUACCACUGCCUUCCUGACCGCCGGCGACCGACGGGGUAA